UUAAAGUGACUAGACUUGUCGAAUCGAUUGGUAAUCGUGUACGUUGAAAAUAUGUACAAUAAAUAUCAGUGUUUAUCUACGAUAUCGCAUUGAAAUGCAAUAGUGUGUAACGUAACGUCGCGACUCGCGAAUUGUAAGCUUGCGAGCCUCGUUACUUGGUACGGAAAAUACUAUUAAGCUUUUUAUCGGAUUAUUAAUCGGAUCUGUAGUUGUUCAGCGAUAUACGACAAUUCAGGAAGGCAGCGACCGAUUAAGGUCUCGUGUAGCGAUGCCGGUACGGGGUCCAGGCGAAUAAUUCUACGAAAAGAAUAGAGAUACUGACAACAGGCGAUGUACGUGUCUACAUAAACAAUGGUAUUUCGGCUUUAUACAUGGACGCAUGGAAAACACACACAAAACGCAUGGUGAAACACCAUCGAAAAUAGUGUCAAUGGGAGAAUCUGUUAUCGUACCGCGUGAUAUUCAUUACUCGUUAUCGAGUGUCAAGAACCGCACACCUCGAUAAGGAAUCGCAUCCACCGCAUGGGGACUUGGUGUACAUUUCGAAAUGAGGCUAAUUAAGAAAAUAGUUUCCAAUGAGAAAUAGUUGGUUAAGCAUGCUAGGUGAUUUCAUGGUUACCCAUUCAAUCGUUCAGUCACAGUUGCUACAGGAUACACUAAAAGGAUACAAGGCGAUAAUAAUUAAACGAUAUAUGAAGUAUGUAUACGACUACAUGCUUGAACCGCUCCGUAACAUUAAUGAACGAGGACGUUACGAUUAUUGUGUCUUUCAUCGAAUCUUUGGUCAGAAUUUGAAUUAGGAACAAGCAUACUCGUCUAUCGUCUACUAUAUUUCAACUAAAAACGUCCUCGAACACGAAGCUAUCGUUUACAAAUGUACAUGUACACGAGGCGUAUGUGGUCUGUUUAACGAUCAUGUUGGGAAACGAGCUUGGUUGAUAAGAGAGCGGUGCAAAGCUACGAUAUUCGAAAGUGAUAUAUGGUAGCAUUGCGCGCGAAAUUGCAUUUCGAAACGCUCUACGAUUUACCAUUGCUGUUGAAGCAUGGGCAGAGCGCGUUGAAUAUGCGAUUGCAGAAUCCACGUGCACGAUGAUUCCAGCCAACGAUACUAUCGGUACCUUUUAGUUUGGUUCCUAGGCAAAUACGCGGGCAUUUCAUUUAUUCGCUCGAUCAAGAAUUCUCUCUCGAAAGGUACGAGAACACGAUUAAAAGAGGCAUCCGAAGUCUUCGGAAAGCAUCGAGUAACAGAAACAUUUC